rnacentral:rRNA from 1 species
UAGGGAAUCUUCCACAAUGGACGCAAGUCUGAUGGAGCAACGCCGCGUGAGUGAAGAAGGUCUUCGGAUCGUAAAGCUCUGUUGUUGGCGAAGAAGGAUAGAGGCAGUAACUGGUCUUUAUUUGACGGUAAUCAACCAGAAAGUCACGGCUAACUACGUGCCAGCAGCCGCGGUAAUACGUAGGUGGCAAGCGUUGUCCGGAUUUAUUGGGCGUAAAGCGAGCGCAGGCGGAAUGAUAAGUCUGAUGUGAAAGCCCACGGCUCAACCGUGGAACUGCAUCGGAAACUGUCAUUCUUGAGUGCAGAAGAGGAGAGUGGAACUCCAUGUGUAGCGGUGGAAUGCGUAGAUAUAUGGAAGAACACCAGUGGCGAAGGCGGCUCUCUGGUCUGCAACUGACGCUGAGGCUCGAAAGCAUGGGUAGCGAACAGGAUUAGAUACCCUGGUAGUCCAUGCCGUAAACGAUGAGCGCUAGGUGUUGGGGACUUUCCGGUUCUCAGUGCCGCAGCAAACGCAUUAAGCGCUCCGCCUGGGGAGUACGACCGCAAGGUUGAAAC